rnacentral:lncRNA from 1 species
GUGGGACCAGGAAGCUCCAGCUCAUACUCUGGAGGAACUCCAUACUGAACCUUUAUCAGUAGAAGUUCAUCCAGAGUCAGAGAACAGGGAAUGGCGUCUGACACAAAAGCCGGACGAGACCCAGCCCUAGAUAUGGGUUCGUCUAUAGUAUGAGGGUUCUGAGGGACUGAGAAAGACGAACUCUCGAAACCGCUAGAGGCGGAGGUACCAGAAGACAUUUCAAGUAAGAACCCUAGAA